GACACGGUGGCCUCAUGGUCAGCGCGUUGGACUCCGGACCGAGUGGUCCGGGUUCGAGCCCUGGCCUGGGUCA
rnacentral:tRNA from 1 species